GCAAUUGAUUGUUUAAAGUAGUGUAAUAGGGAGUCUAUUAAUGUUCUGGGUUGUAAAAUCAUGAACCCAUAACAUCAAAGUGCACGAAUUUGAAGAUUUGAGCAAGUUGGAAAAACCGAAUUCUGUGAUUAUUUACUUUUUUUGUUGUUUAAAAGUUGUUAGGUGUAUCUUGUUAUGUGGUCUUUAAACUACAAAAGGAAUCAGGUCUAUAUCUAUUGUAGAUCGGGAUUUAUAAGCGGUCAAAGUGGGUUUACCGGCAUUAACCGGCUGUUUUUCAAACCCAGAAAAUAUUCUAAGUGUCCAGAAAUAUUUUUUUGGCAAAUGUCAGGCCUUAUAUCUCGGUUAUCUUUAAUGAGUUUUGUGUUAUAAAGGUUGAUAUGUGUAGCUUGUUAUGUGGUAUUUAACCUCCAAAAAUAAUCAGGUCCAUAUAUAUUACGGAUUAAGAGUUAUUUAAGGUCAAAGUGGGUUGACCGGCAUUGACCAGAAAAUUCUGGGCAGCCCAGAAUUUUN
rnacentral:lncRNA from 1 species